UUAAAUCAAAGAUCCAAAAAGCCACUAAAAUCCAAAUUCAUUUCACAUUUUAAGUACCCUCCAAAAAUCUUGAACAAUUUGUAGCGGCACAAAUCGAGGACAACCCAUUUCUACCACCAUCCUCCACUUUCAAUCCCUUCUCACACACAAUCUUUAGAACAACACCAUGCCUCUCACCGGCUUCAUCGACUCCUCAUCAACCCCCAAGAUCGAUGAUAUGGGUAUCCCUUUCUCAACCUCACCGUCAAUGGCUUCUUGAAGAUCGGAUCCGUCGCUGCUACUCGAGCGGCUGCUAAGGAUGCUUAUCAUGUUGUUAGAAAAGGUGUUGGAGCGGUGGAGAAGUGCAAAUGCAGUAUGCUUUGAUGUUGAUAGCACAGUUUGGGUUUAGUGACAAUCAUUGAGGCAAAAUAUUACAUCAAGAUCUUGGUGGGUGACUUCAUCAAGAUUGGAAAAGUGGUCUACGACCACAGUUAUUUUCUGUUGCAAAUAAAAUUCGUGACAGUUAUUUACAGUCAUAGAAGCGGGAGUCAUGGAAAGUCAUUCCAUGACAGUUUUCUAAAACUAUCGCAAUAAGUUUUGAUGUUGUGAGAUUGUUCGGGAUUUAAAAUAGACAAACAAAUUUUAUCGAAUUGGAUGCUUUGGUGGCCUGAGAUUCUUUGAGAUUUAAAUCGAACUGAAACCAAACCCCAUAUGCGGUUCGGUUUUUAUUCAGUUUGACCAAA